rnacentral:lncRNA from 1 species
AUCCACAGCCACAGGAGUGCACCACUGAGGUCUCAGACCUAUCUAUGGAGGCAGUCAGACUUAGAGGAGUAUUGGAGAGUGGAUUUGAUUUUCUGAGGAGAGAGAUCAGAGGCUCUAGUGAGCAUGCAUCCACCCAGUUCACUGCACUGCUACAGUCUGUUUCGAGAGCUCUGAACCUUCUAGACACCAUCAGGCUCUCUCUUGCAGUUCAGUCUGUUGCUUCUCAGCC